UUACUGAGACACGGUCCAGACUCCUACGGGAGGCAGCAGUAGGGAAUCUUCCGCAAUGGGCGAAAGCCUGACGGAGCAACGCCGCGUGAGUGAUGAAGGGUUUCGGCUCGUAAAACUCUGUUAUUAGGGAAGAACAUAUGUGUAAGUAACUGUGCACAUCUUGACGGUACCUAAUCAGAAAGCCACGGCUAACUACGUGCCAGCAGCCGCGGUAAUACGUAGGUGGCAAGCGUUAUCCGGAAUUAUUGGGCGUAAAGCGCGCGUAGGCGGUUUCUUAAGUCUGAUGUGAAAGCCCACGGCUCAACCGUGGAGGGUCAUUGGAAACUGGGAAACUUGAGUGCAGAAGAGGAAAGUGGAAUUCCAUGUGUAGCGGUGAAAUGCGCAGAGAUAUGGAGGAACACCAGUGGCGAAGGCGACUUUCUGGUCUGUAACUGACGCUGAUGUGCGAAAGCGUGGGGAUCAAACAGGAUUAGAUACCCUGGUAGUCCACGCCGUAAACGAUGAGUGCUAAGUGUUAGGGGGUUUCCGCCCCUUAGUGCUGCAGCUAACGCAUUAAGCACUCCGCCUGGGGAGUACGACCGCAAGGUUGAAACUCAAAGGAAUUGACGGGGACCCGCACAAGCGGUGGAGCAUGUAGUUUAAUUCGAAGCAACGCGAAGAACCUUACCAAAUCUUGACAUCCUUUGAAAACUCUAGAGAUAGAGCCUUCCCCUUCGGGGGACAAAGUGACAGGUGGUGCAUGGUUGUCGUCAGCUCGUGUCGUGAGAUGUUGGGUUAAGUCCCGCAACGAGCGCAACCCUUAAGCUUAGUUGCCAUCAUUAAGUUGGGCACUCUAGGUUGACUGCCGGUGACAAACCGGAGGAAGG
rnacentral:rRNA from 1 species